rnacentral:rRNA from 1 species
UUGUCUCAAAGAUUAAGCCAUGCAUGUCUCAGUACAGACCGAAUUAAGGUGAAACCGCAAAUGGCUCAUUAUAUCAGUCUUGAUUUCUUAGAUCGUGCCACAUCCUUACUUGGAUAACUGUGGAAAAUCCAGAGCUAAUACAUGCAAACUAGAGUUCCGACUGUUUUAGGACAGGAAGAAUGCAUUUGUUAGAAUAAAACCGACCGUACUUUCGGGUACGCUCUCUGUUUUAUGGUGACUCUGAAUAACUUAGCCGAGCGCUGCGACCUCGAGUCGGCGCCGUAUCUUUCAAGUGUCUGCCUUAUCAGCUGUCGAUUGUAGGUUAUAUGCCUACAAUGGCUGUCACGGGUAACGGGGAAUCAGGGUUCGAUUCCGGAGAGGGAGCCUGAGAAACGGCUACCACAUCUAAGGAAGGCAGCAGGCACGCAAAUUACCCACUCCCAGCUCGGGGAGGUAGUGACGAAAAAUAACGAUGAGAGACUCUUCCGAGGCCUCUCAAUCGGAAUGAGUCCAUUUUAAAUCCUUGGACGAGGACCCAUUGGAGGGCAAGUCUGGUGCCAGCAGCCGCGGUAAUUCCAGCUCCAAUAGCGUAUAUGUAAGUUGCUGCGGUUAAAAAGCUCGUAGUUGGAUUUGGGAUCCAACAUCGAUGGCCCACGUAAGGUUGGAACUUGGGUGUGUGCAAACGCGCUCUUGUUUAAUGGACCUGGUGGAUUACUGUCGAAAGUUGGUUUAUAUACAUACCGUCGACUCGCUAGGAGUGCUCUUUACCGAGUGUUCCCACGCGGUUGACACGUUCACUUUGAAUAAAUUAGAGUGCUUAAAGCAGGCAAAUUUAACGCCUGGAUGGGUACGCAUGGAAUGAAGGAACAGGACCUCGGUUCUGCUCUUUUGGUCGGUUUUCGAACCGAGGUAAUGAUUAAAAGGAAUAGACGGUGGCAUUAGUACUGUGGCGCUAGAGGUGAAAUUCUUGGAACGUCGCAUGACUAACUACUGCGAAAGCAUUUGCCAAGAAUGUUUUCGUUAAUCAAGAACGAAAGUUAGAGGAUCGAAGGCGAUCAGAUACCGCCCUAGUUCUAACCAUAAACUAUGCUAACUGGCGAUCCGUCGCUGUCAUUCCCACGACUCGACGGGAAGCUCCCGGGAAACCAAAGUUUUUGAGUUCCGGGGGAAGUAUGGUUGCAAAGCUGAAACUUAAAGGAAUUGACGGAAGGGCACCACCAGGAGUGGAGCCUGCGGCUUAAUUUGACUCAACACGGGAAAUCUCACCAGGCCCAGACGUCGUUAGGAUUGACAGAUUAAGAGCUCUUUCUCGAUUCGACGGGUGGUGGUGCAUGGCCGUUCUUAGUUGGUGGAGCGAUCUGUCUGGUUGAUUCCGAUAACGAACGAGACUCUACCCUACUAAAUAGUUGGCAAAUCGUUACCCUGAGCUUGAGGCUCGAAUGAGUGAUGCGCAUGAAAGCCUUCAGUGCUGGUAGUUGCUUUUUGUGGCUGCUAGUCUGGAUGUGUGGGAUUGUUGCUAGCCCAUUUACAGUCUCUACUGGGGGUGUUUGUCUUUAAUUCUUCUUAGAGGGAUCCACGGCGUCCAGCCGCACGAGAAAGAGCAAUAACAGGUCUGUGAUGCCCUUAGAUGUUCUGGGCCGCACGCGCGCUACAAUGUAGGUGUCAACGUGUUUUCCUCUCCGAAAGGAGCGGGCAACCCCAUGAAAUACCUACCCGAUUGGGAUUGGGGAUUGAAAAUGUUUCUCAUAAACGAGGAAUUCCCAGUAAGCGCGAGUCACUAACUCGCGUUGAUUACGUCCCUGCCCUUUGUACACACCGCCCGUCGCUACUACCGAUUGAAUGAUUCAGUGAGAGCAUUGGACUGUCGCCUUCGGUUUGUAUCACUACAAAAUCUUUGGCUGACGGAAAGAUGUCCAAACUUGAUCAUUAG